rnacentral:tRNA from 1 species
GAAAUAGCUUAAUUUGGUAGAGCACUACGUUCGGGACGUAGAGGUUGCAGGUUCAAAUCCUGUUUUCC